rnacentral:rRNA from 1 species
CGGGUGAGUAAUGUCUGGGAAACUGCCCGAUGGAGGGGGAUAACUACUGGAAACGGUAGCUAAUACCGCAUAACGUCGCAAGACCAAAGAGGGGGACCUUCGGGCCUCUUGCCAUCGGAUGUGCCCAGAUGGGAUUAGCUAGUAGGUGGGGUAACGGCUCACCUAGGCGACGAUCCCUAGCUGGUCUGAGAGGAUGACCAGCCACACUGGAACUGAGACACGGUCCAGACUCCUACGGGAGGCAGCAGUGGGGAAUAUUGCACAAUGGGCGCAAGCCUGAUGCAGCCAUGCCGCGUGUAUGAAGAAGGCCUUCGGGUUGUAAAGUACUUUCAGCGAGGAGGAAGGCGUUGUGGUUAAUAACCGCAGCGAUUGACGUUACUCGCAGAAGAAGCACCGGCUAACUCCGUGCCAGCAGCCGCGGUAAUACGGAGGGUGCAAGCGUUAAUCGGAAUUACUGGGCGUAAAGCGCACGCAGGCGGUCUGUCAAGUCGGAUGUGAAACCCCCGGGCUCAACCUGGGAACUGCAUCCGAAACUGGCAGGCUAGAGUCUUGUAGAGGGGGGUAGAAUUCCAGGUGUAGCGGUGAAAUGCGUAGAGAUCUGGAGGAAUACCGGUGGCGAAGGCGGCCCCCUGGACAAAGACUGACGCUC